rnacentral:rRNA from 1 species
AUACGUAGGUGACAAGCGUUAUCCGGAUUUACUGGGCGUAAAGGGCGUGUAGGCGGUCUUGCAAGUCAGAAGUGAAAUUCCUGAGCUCAACUCGGGCGCUGCUUCUGAAACUGCAGGACUUGAGUGCUGGAGGGGAUAGCGGAAUUCCUAGUGGAGCGGUAAAAUGCGCAGAUAUUAGGAAGAACACCGGUGGCGAAGGCGGUUAUCUGGACAGUAACGGAGGUUGAGGUGCGAAAGGGUGGGGAACAAACAGGAUUAGAUACCCUGGUAGCCCACGCCGUAAACGAUGAAUACUAGGUGUAGGGGGUAUCGACUCCCUCUGUGCCGCAGUUAACACAAUAAGUAUUCCGCCUGGGGAUUACGGCCGCAAGGUUGAAACUCAAAUGAAUUUACGGG